CCCUUAGAUGUUCUGGGCGGCCCGCGCACUACAAUGGCGUGUGCAGCGAGUGCCGAAGUAGAGUUUUCCGUGGUAUUCUUGCAAUGCUCGUUUUGAUGGGGAUAGACCCUUGCAACUGUUGGUUUUGAACGAGGAAUUCCUUGUAAGCAUGGUUUAUCAUCCGACGCUGAAUGCGUCCCUGCCCUUUGUACACACCGCCCGUCGCUCCUACCGAUGAGUCGUCCGGUGAAGUUCGUAGACCUCGUGAUCGCGGAUCACUGGGGGAAGCAAAAUGAACCUCGCGGUUUAGAGGAAGGAGAAGUCGUAACA
rnacentral:rRNA from 1 species